rnacentral:rRNA from 1 species
GCGAGUCUGAAUAGGGCGCAUAAGUAACAGGUCGUAGACCCGAAACCAGGUGAUCUACCCAUGUCCAGGAUGAAGGUAAGGUAAUACUUACUGGAGGUCCGAACCCACGCACGUUGAAAAGUGCGGGGAUGAGGUGUGGGUAGCGGAGAAAUUCCAAUCGAACUUGGAGAUAGCUGGUUCUCUCCGAAAUAGCUUUAGGGCUAGCCUCGAGGUAAAGAGUCAUGGAGGUAGAGCACUGUUUGGACUAGGGGCCCUUCUCGGGUUACCGAAUUCAGAUAAACUCCGAAUGCCAUGUACUUAUACUCGGGAGUCAGACUGCGAGUGAUAAGAUCCGUAGUCGAAAGGGAAACAGCCCAGACCACCAGUUAAGGUCCCCAAAUAUAUGUUAAGUGGAAAAGGAUGUGGGGUUGCUUAGACAACCAGGAUGUUGGCUUAGAAGCAGCCACCAUUGAAAGAGUGCGUAAUAGCUCACUGGUCGAGUGACCCCGCGCCGAAAAUGUACCGGGGCUAAACAUAUUACCGAAACUGUGGAUGAACCUCUUUAGAGGUUCGUGGUAGGAGAGCGUUCUAAGGGCGGUGAAGUCAGACCGGAAGGACUGGUGGAGCGCUUAGAAGUGAGAAUGCCGGUAUGAGUAGCGAAAGAAGGGUGAGAAUCCCU